ensembl:snRNA U6 U6 spliceosomal RNA
GUGCUCGCUUUAGCAGCACAUAUACUAAAAUUGGAACGAUACAGAGAUUAGCAUGGCCCCUGCGCAAGGAUGACACGCAAAUUUGUGAAGCGUUCCCUGUUUUU